AUUGAACGCUGGCGGCAUGCCUUACACAUGCAAGUCGAACGAGGGUAGCAAUACCUUAGUGGCGAACGGGUGAGUAAUAUAUCGGAACGUACCCUAGAGUGGUGGACAACAAGUCGAAAGACCGGCUAAUACCGCAUACGAUCUACGGAUGAAAGUGGAGGACCGCAAGGCCUCACGACACUGAAGCGGCCGAUAUCUGAUUAGCUCGUUGGUAGGGUAAAAGCCUACCAAGGAACCGAUCAGUAGCUGGGCUGAGAGGACGAUCAGCCACACUGGGACUGAGACACGGCCCAGACUCCUACGGGAGGCAGCAGUGGGGAAUUUUGGACAAUGGGGGAAACCCUGAUCCAGCAAUGCCGCGUGAGUGAAGAAGGCCUUCGGGUUGUAAAGCUCUUUUGUCAGGGAAGAAAAGGCUAUGGCUAAUAUCCAUGGCUGAUGCCGGUACCUGAAGACUAAGCACCGGCUAACUACGUGCCAGCCGCCGCCGUAA
rnacentral:rRNA from 1 species